UCCGUACUCACACACGUUUUCGCAGAUCAAGUGUAGUAUCUGUUCUAUAAUCCAUAAUCGGAUUAUUCUCAUCAUUGUAUGAGAUUAAGAUUAUGACAAUUUCUUUUGGAGGUUCUCGUAUUCAAGCCGUGCUCGCACGGUCACGAGAACGAACAUGGGCUUGGCCUUGCACUUCGCCUCGCACGUGUGCUCCAU
rnacentral:snRNA from 1 species